AAGGAGAGCGAGUGAGUGUGAAAGAGAGAGCGGGAGAGAGAGAGAGAGCAGCCCGCCGGCCCAUUGAGGAAAGAUGGCUACAGUCACUGCAAACGGAGUGCAGCAAGAGAAUGGAUUCAGCACCACGAACAGCGCCGGCAGGAUGAACGGGCUUACCAUCGGCCAGAACACCAUUCCAAUGAAGGACCACGACGCCAUCAAGCUUUUCAUCGGGCAGAUUCCCAGAAACUUGGAGGAAAAAGACCUGAAACCCCUGUUUGAGGAAUUCGGAAAGAUAUACGAACUCACUGUACUGAAAGACAGGUUUACGGGAAUGCAUAAAGGAUGUGCCUUUCUAACAUACUGUGCCAGAGAGUCAGCACUGAAGGCCCAGAGCGCCCUCCAUGAACAGAAGACUCUGCCAGGGAUGAACCGGCCCAUCCAGGUGAAGCCAGCUGACAGCGAAGGACGAGGAGAAGACAGGAAGCUGUUUGUGGGAAUGCUCGGCAAGCAGCAGAGUGAGGAUGACGUCCGGCGGCUGUUUGAGACCUUCGGCCAGAUCGAGGAGUGCACCGUCCUGCGAGGGCCUGAUGGGGCCAGUAAGGGCUGUGCCUUUGUCAAGUUCUCCAGCCACGCAGAAGCGCAGGCUGCCAUCAACAGUUUGCACGGCGGACAGACUAUGCCUGGUGCCUCAUCAAGUCUGGUGGUCAAGUUUGCAGAUACCGAUAAAGAGAGGACCCUACGCAGGAUGCACCAGAUGGCGGGCCAGCUCGGCAUCUUCAGUCCCAUGACCAUCCAGUUUGGGGCCUAUGGCGCCUACUCUCAUGCUGUAAGUCUCAGCCCGGCGGGGGAGGAGACGCAGAUGAUGCAACAGCAAGCAGCCCUGAUGGCAGCGACACAAGGGUCCUACCUGAACCCCAUGGCAGCCAUCGCUGCCGCACAAAUGCAGCAAAUGGCAGCUUUCAAUGUCAACGGCCUGGUAGCUACUCCCAUGACUCCAUCCUCAGGCACCAGCACACCCCCAGGUAUCUCUGCCACAGCCGUGCCCAGCAUAGCCACCCCAAUCGGGGUCAAUGGAUUCAGUGCCCUCCCGCCUCAAAGCAACGGGCAGCCCACCUCUGAGCCCAUCUAUACCAAUGGUAUUCAUCCUUACCCAGCACAGAGUCCAACGGUGACUGACCCUCUCCCACAAGCUUAUGCUGGCAUCCAACAUUACGCAGCAGCCUACCCUGCCGCCUAUGCGCCAAUCAGCCAAGCGUUCCCCCAGCAACCAACCAUCAUUCCCCAGCAACAGAGAGAAGGGCCAGAAGGUUGCAACCUGUUUAUUUAUCACCUGCCCCAGGAGUUCGGAGAUGCGGAGCUCAUGCAAAUGUUCCUGCCUUUUGGGAACGUCAUCUCCGCCAAAGUCUUUGUGGACCGAGCGACCAAUCAAAGCAAAUGUUUCGGCUUUGUGAGUUUUGAUAACCCGUCCAGUGCUCAAGCCGCUAUCCAGGCCAUGAACGGCUUUCAGAUAGGCAUGAAGAGGCUGAAGGUACAGCUAAAGCGGCCAAAGGAUGCCAACCGACCUUACUGACUCGUCUGCUGUCCAUAUCCAGUGUGAGGUGGCCUUUCUCCGCUAUAGACACAUCCCCCCACUCACCUGUCAUGGGGCCAAGUUCCCACAGCUGAUGAAGGGCCACAACACCUUAUUUCCACAAGUGCAGUAAAAGUACAAAGACUUCUUGCUCUGCUACAUAUCAUGAAGGAAGGGUGGUCCCUUGAUCCUGCUGGAAACCCGCUGAAAGAUUGGGUGACUGAGAGAAGCAUCCCAGAGUUGUUGUUGUUGUUGUUUUUUAAGUUCAGUUUUUUGUUUUUCUUCGCAAAUGCCUCUUUUCCCUGUUUUGCUUUGGCGUCAGUGGGAGAAGAUUUUUUGCAGAGACCAACUUUUUGCUGCUGUUUUUUAGACAUCAUGGGGAAAAAAAAACCUUUAUAGACUCAUUAUGCUCAAAGCAUGCAUACUGACAUGGGAUAUAAAUAAACCCACUUAAACGCAGAUAACAAACCAAACAUACACAUCUAGAGAUGCUACAGAUAAAACAAUGAAAAAAGAAAAAAAAAGAUAAUCUACUUUGUACAUGUAUAGAUACGUGCAAAUGCCAACUCAAGUACCGCAUCAGACACAUGUGUGCACACACCUACACUCACACCUACACACACACACACCAGCCUGCUGCCAAUUUUGGUUUUUGUGCCUCCACAGGUGUUGUGCUCUGUGACAGGGCAAGCUCUGGAUUGAAGAAAACAAGAAGAAGAGGAGAAUCCAGGAUAAUUUACAUGCAUCAUUCCUUAGGAAAUAGGGACCAAAGGACUAAACGCUUUUUAAAAGAAUAUAAAUAUAUAAAUAUAUAUUUAAAAACUCAUACCUUGUAGCUGCAAGUAUUACAAUUUACUCGUAGUCAAAAAAUCAUUAAAUCAAUAUCCAGUGGCCUACUGCAAGAACGAAUAAAAGAAAACGGAAAUAAUGUACCUAUAAAAAAGACAUGGAAUCGUAGUGUAGGGGCUGGUUGUUUGCUCUGGAUGCUGAUUUAGCACCGGGUUGUAGAAUAUUACAGUAGACUAGAAGAAAAUGUAGAUUUGCUAACUUUUGCUGUUGUUUAAAAAAAAAAAAAAAAUACUUGAAGUCUUAAUGAAAAGGGAGCAAACGGAGGGAGAAAAAGGAAACAUUCAUCUGCCCCUGUAAGCAACAAAUCUCGUUCUCUUGGAUGCUAUGGUAUCAGCCACUGGAUAUCUCGGCCAUCAUGAUGUACAAGUCACCACAUUCUCUGACAGCUAUGAACAGACUGCUUCAGAAGGGGAAAGAUGAAUGAUAAGAGGGAAAGAAAGAAGAAUGAACUUACUAAUGUCUGUGCUGGACAGGAGUCAGACGUUUAAGGCUUCUCACUAGCCUUGUGUUCAAGCGACAAUCCACUGUAAAGACCAAGCAAAAUGGACAUGGGGUGUCUUCUGUUGUUUUAUUUAUUUAUUUUUUUUCUUGAUCUUUUGUAUUGCAACAUGAAGUGUGAAUUAUAAAGCAUCACAAUGUUAAAAGGCAAAGGAUGAAUGGACAAAUGGAUGGUUAUGAGGGCAAAAGAAAGGGAGGAGGAGUAAGGUGACAGCUACUGAAAACUGCCAGCAGAAUGAACUCUGUACAAAUGAUUUGGCACUUAGGAGGCUGGAAUCCCUCAAGAAAAAAACAA